rnacentral:rRNA from 1 species
CAGCCGCCGCGGUAAUACGAAGGGUGCAAGCGUUAAUCGGAAUUACUGGGCGUAAAGCGUGCGUAGGCGGUGAGUUAAGUCUGCUGUGAAAUCCCCGGGCUCAACCUGGGAAUGGCAGUGGAUACUGGCUCGCUAGAGUGUGUCAGAGGAUGGUGGAAUUCCCGGUGUAGCGGUGAAAUGCGUAGAGAUCGGGAGGAACAUCAGUGGCGAAGGCGGCCAUCUGGGACAACACUGACGCUGAGGCACGAAAGCGUGGGAGCAAACAGGAUUAGAUACCCGCGUAGUCCCUGUCUCUUAUACA